UUAUGCAAAUUCUUGCAAAAAAUUAUGAUAAUAGAGUUCAGAGCCCCAUUUCUGUAUAAAUAUGGCUGCUUCUCUGCUGUGACUUCACCGACUUGAACAGCCCAAGACCAGCAGACAAAAUGAAGACUCUGGUGCUUCUUUCCGCCCUGGCUUUCCUCUGCAGCUCUGUGGAGACGUUCUUUUUUGUACCUCCGAACAAGCUAGCGAGCUAUAAUAUUGCCGAUUAUUUUAGAGGCAAAAGAGAAGCUGGCAAUGAACCCGCAGUGCUGCCUGAGGGAAGAGGUAC